AUCCGUUCCGUGGAUCCGCUCCAUCCGCUUCCGCAUUUUAACCUAAUUGUGACAUGUUUCACAAUAACAAGUCUCAUUGACCUUUGACUUUUCGAAGGUCACGUUGUGUCUAUUUUCAGCUUUUCGAAUGUGUUGACUGUUGAAUAAUGUCACUUUAGAUUUCAAUAGUUUCACAGUUAUAGCUGCAGUGCUUAAAGCAGUUUUGACAAGCUUUGAUACAGUUCUGUGUACAGAAUACUACAGAUUGAUUCUCGUAAGAUCUGGUAGAGUUAUCGUUGCACUGAACACGAGUUUGC